rnacentral:tRNA from 1 species
UCCCUGGUGGCUCAAAUGGUAAAGUGUCUAUCUAUAAUGCAGGAGACCCGGGUUCAAUCCCUGGGUGGGGAA